GUGUAGUUUGAAAGGAGAGCAGGUUAGCACUCCCCUAGACAAGGAUGGAAUCACAUAAAUGACUAAAAAGGCACUAGACGAGUUCCAGUCGCCAAUUUUU
rnacentral:ncRNA from 1 species